AAUCUUAAAAGUGGAAUAUCUCGUCGACGGUAUGACGGAAAUAAAAAAUGUCAACAUUAAUAUUCAUCUUAACUAAUAUACUCUAUAAUCUGUUUAUGGAGUUUUUAAUAUUGGUUGCCGUUUGAAAAUCAAAAGUGGGUAUAGUGGUUUUACCCCGGAAAAUAAGGGCGACGAAAAAUAACAUAGAUAUAAAAUUAGGGAGCCGUAUGUUUAUUAAAUUUUCUAGAAA